GACGUAGGGCGCGAGCGUUGUCCGGAUUUAUUGGGCGUAAAGAGCUCGUAGGCGGUGUGUCGCGCCGGCCGUGAAAACCUGCAGCUUAACUGUGGGCUUGCGGUCGAUACGGGCAUCACUGGAGUUCGGCAGGGGAGACUGGAAUUCCUGGUGUAGCGGUGAAAUGCGCAGAUAUCAGGAGGAACACCGGUGGCGAAGGCGGGUCUCUGGGCCGAUACUGACGCUGAGGAGCGAAAGCGUGGGGAGCGAACAGG
rnacentral:rRNA from 1 species